AUGGUUGUAUUUCUCAGAGUCAUUCUAGGUCCAGGAAGACAUGCUUAUGAGGGACCCCAAAUGCCUACUACGUGUCUGUCUGUCUGUAUGUCUCCUAGUCACUUCUACACAGCACCUGGAGCUCUAUCUGGUAUUGAAGAUGGCUCACCAGUGACCUUUAUCUGGAGGCUUGGAGAUAGAAGUUUCUGAUCUGGAUCUUGGUAUGGAGAUCUUGAGGCAUAGUGUCUAUGGAUUCCAGAAUAUUAUAUCUCCGAGUUCAAGGUCAUCUGGGAUUAAAGGUGUGGUGGAGCAGACCUUUAAUCUGGGCUACACCUUCUGCUGGAGACCAUAUAAGGACAUUGGAAGAAGGGAGUCUUGCUCUUGCUCCUUCACCUACUUGCUGUGUGAGACUGAGUAACUGCUAGAUCCUUAGACUUCCAUUCACAGCUACUACUGAACCAUUUUUGGGAAUCGGGCUGCAGACUGUAAGUCAUCAAUAAAUUCCUUUACUGUAUAGAGACUAUCCAUAAGUUCUAUGACUCUAGAGAACCCUGACUAAUACACCCUUCUUUGGCAGAUUGCAAAGUGUUUCUGGUACUGGAGAAGCUACACUUUAGGAAGGAGCCUUUUAGAUUAGAAUCAUAACCAAUAAAGACCUUCAACCUCUGAGAGGCAGCCAAGCAGUAGUGUAUAUUAUUUCAAAAGUCAAUUGGAUUACUGUGACCAACUAUUUGAACAGAAGUCUUUUGUGUCUUGUAUUAGAAGGAGAAAAUGAACAAUGAAAAACAACACCAAGGUUAUCUGAUAAGCCUCAAGAAACCUUAUUUAUUUACUUAAAAUUCAUCCUUAAAGGAAGAUAUUCCAUUUGGGCCGACAACUCACCCCACGAGAACCAUGGAUUUACCUUCAUUUUAUUUAUGUGUAUGUGCAUUGAAAGUAUGACAUUUGUGUGCAAGGAAUUGCAAAACCCUAAGAAGUCAUCAGAUUCCCUAGAGUUGGAGUGACAGCUCGUUGGAAGUUGCCCAAUUUGGAUUCUGAGAGCUACACUCAGGUCCUUUGCAAGAGCAAGGUUUUAUUUGGCUAUGUUCUAACACUAAGAAUAAAAUCAACUAUCUUACAACUGAUUGGCCAGUGUCCAGGGAC
rnacentral:lncRNA from 1 species